CCUACGGGUGGCUGCAGUGAGGAAUAUUGGUCAAUGGACGAGAGUCUGAACCAGCCAAGUAGCGUGAAGGAUGACUGCCCUAUGGGUUGUAAACUUCAUUUAUAUGGUAAUAAAAUGUUCCACGUUUGGGAUUUUGUAUGUACCAUAUGAAUAAGUAUCGGCUAACUCCGUGCCAGCAGCCGCGGUAAUACGGAGGAUCCGAGCGUUAUCCGGCUUUAUUGGGUUUAAAGGGAGCGUAGGUGGAUUGUUAAGUCAGUUGUGAAAGUUUGCGGCUCAACCGUAAAAUUGCAGUUGAAACUGGCAGUCUUGAGUACAGUAGAGGUGGGCGGAAUGCGUGGUGUAGCGGUGAAAUGCUUAGAUAUCACGAAGAACUCCGAUUGCGAAGGCAGUUCACUGGACUGCAACUGACACUGAGGCUCGAAAGUGUGGGUAUCAAACAGGAUUAGAUACCCCUGUAGUC
rnacentral:rRNA from 1 species